AUUGAACGCUGGCGGCAUGCCUUACACAUGCAAGUCGAGCGGCAGCGCGGGGGCAACCCUGGCGGCGAGCGGCGAACGGGUGAGUAAUACAUCGGAACGUGUCCAGUAGCGGGGGAUAACCUGUCGAAAGAUAGGCUAAUACCGCAUACGAUCUACGGAUGAAAGCGGGGACCGCAAGGCCUCGCACUGUUGGAGCGGCCGAUGUCGGAUUAGCUAGUUGGCGGGGUAAAGCCCACCAAGGCGACGAUCCGUAGCUGGUCUGAGAGGACGACCAGCCACACUGGAACUGAGACACGGUCCAGACUCCUACGGGAGGCAGCAGUGGGGAAUUUUGGACAAUGGGGCAACCCUGAUCCAGCCAUGCCGCGUGAGUGAAGAAGGCC
rnacentral:rRNA from 1 species